rnacentral:rRNA from 1 species
ACGUAAUAGAUACCCUGGUAGUCCACGCCCUAAACGAUGUCUACUAGUUGUUGGUGGAGUAAAAUCCAUGAGUAAACGCAGCUAAACGCGUGAAGUAGACCGCCUGGGGAGUACGGUCGCAAGAUUAAAACUCAAAGGAAUUGACGGGGGCCGGCACAAGCGGUGGAUUAUGUGGAUUAAAUUCGAUGCAACGCGAAAAACCUUAACCUGGCCUUGACAUGCCACUAACGAAGCAGAGAUGCAUUAGGUGCCCGUAACGGGAAAGUGGACACAGGUGCUGCAUGGCUGUCGUCAGCUCGUGUCGUGAGAUGUUGGGUUUAAGUCCCGCAACGAGCGCAACCCUUGCCAUUAAUUGCCAUCAUUUAAGUUGGGCACUUUAAUGGGACUGCCGGUGACAAACCGGAGGAAGGUGGGGAUGACGUCAAGUCCUCAUGGCCCUUAU